rnacentral:rRNA from 1 species
GACGAACGCUGGCGGCGUGCUUAACACAUGCAAGUCGAACGGAAAGGCCCUGCUUUUGUGGGGUGCUCGAGUGGCGAACGGGUGAGCAGCACGUGAGUAACCUGCCCUUGACUUUGGGAUAACUUCAGGAAACUGGGGCUAAUACCGGAUAGGAGCUCCUGCUGCAUGGUGGGGGUUGGAAAGUUUCGGCGGUUGGGGAUGGACUCGCGGCUUAUCAGCUUGUUGGUGGGGUAGUGGCUUACCAAGGCUUUGACGGGUAGCCGGCCUGAGAGGGUGACCGGCCACAUUGGGACUGAGAUACGGCCCAGACUCCUACGGGAGGCAGCAGUGGGGAAUAUUGCACAAUGGGCGGAAGCCUGAUGCAGAAACGCCGCGUGCGGGAUGACGGCCUUCGGGUUAUAAACCGCUUUCGCCUGUGACGAAGCGUGAGUGACGGUAAUGGGUAAAGAAGCACCGGCUAACUACGUG